rnacentral:rRNA from 1 species
UACAUGGGGUGCAAACGUUGCUCGGAAUUAUUGGGCGUAAAGCGCACGUAGGUGGUCACUUAAGUCGGAUGUGAAAGCCCUCGGCUCAACCGAGGAAGUGCAUCCGAAACUGAGUGGCUAGAGUACUGAAGAGGGUCGCGGAAUUCCCGGUGUAGAGGUGAAAUUCGUAGAUAUCGGGAGGAACACCGGUGGCGAAGGCGGCGACCUGGGCAGAUACUGACACUGAGGUGCGAAAGCGUGGGGAGCAAACAGG